GAAUAUUGGACAAUGGGCGCAAGCCUGAUCCAGCCAUGCCGCGUGUGUGAUGAAGGCCUUAGGGUUGUAAAGCACUUUCGUCCGCGAAGAUAAUGACAGUACCGGAAGAAGAAGCUCCGGCUAAAUUCGUGCCAGCAGCCGCGGUAAUACGAAUGGAGCGAGCGUUGUUCGGAAUCACUGGGCGUAAAGCGUGCGCAGGUGGUCGUGAAAGUUAGAAGUGAAAGCCCAGGGCUUAACCUUGGAAUUGCUUUUAAAACUCCACGACUAGAGUACUGGAGGGGUUGGCGGAAUUUCGAGUGUAGCAGUGAAAUGCGUAGAUAUUCGAAGGAACACCGAUGGCGUAGGCAGCCAACUGGACAGUUACUGACACUCAUGCACGAAAGUGUGGGGAGCAAACAGG
rnacentral:rRNA from 1 species